GCAUUCCGUGACUCGACCUUGCAAAUCGACCAAUCGCGUUCUAAUGAUUUCAGCGAAUCGUUCCACAACGUGAUUGGAUCGUUGUGCAAUCGAAGUAAACGCGUGAUUGUUGCGAUCGGUCUCUUAUCGGUAACAAUUGACAAGUGAAAUCUAUUCAAACAGGUUCUAGGCGAUGAAAGGAGUCAGCUGAUAUUGUUGUUCUUUGAAAAAGUGCGUACGAGUAUAUAGUGCAAUUAACGUAUCUUUAGGUUAUGGGGAGAGCAUGUUGUGUUUUGGGUUGCUCGUCGGGAGGGGAUGCUCCGUCCCAUUUGAUUCCCAAGAACCCGGUUCUCUUUCAGAAAUGGAAGAAUCAAAUUUAUUCUUCGAAGCUUCAACAUUUGACUGACGAACAAAUAAGCAAGCGUGCGGUCUGUUACCGACAUUUCGCCCAUGACGAUUACUUGGUAACGUUUAGAGCGAGAAAAUUGAAACGCGGCGUCGUGCCCUCUUUAAAUCUGCCAAACAAGUCAGCUACCGACAAGCCAAAUAUAAAAGCUUAUACGAAGCGAGAUAUAGAAUUGAGAGAUACAAGCAUAAAUAUAUCCGCCGCAGAAUUAGAAGCGAACAAACAUCAAGAAAUCAUGAUAAGAGAAAGAACAGAUAGUGCAUUGUUAAAGGAUACUCCGGAGGAGACAAAAUCUUGUUUAUUUGAACAGCCAACACUUGAAUCCAUAUUAGACAAAUAUGUGAAACAAAAUUUUACAAAGAAAAGAUUCAAAUUUUACUAUAAAAAAAGAAUACUGAGAAGAAAACGAGCAAAACUAACGGAGGAGCAAUUGGUGUUGAUUCAGCAUAGAAGACAAGUUGAACAGUACGAGAAAACGCCAACUAUACAAAAGUUACUGUCCACUUUAACGUCCACCGAGGUAGCAUCUAUUAAAACCAGAAUACAAAGGUCGAAAUAUUCACCAAGAAUAUGUGUAAAAGUAUAUCACGAUAUGGCCAAGAGAAAAGCUCUUUAUCAGUCAUAAGGUGUAUCGUUGUUGGAUAAAUCUCAAUUGCUCGAAUCAAUGCGCAUUUUGUGCUUUAUACUAGGAGUACUUGCGAAGAUAAAAUUGCACGAUUUUGUCAACAGCAUGGCACAUCCAAAGACUGAUAAACAUAUUGCUUCCGUGAAGGUUUAUGUGUCGAGAGAUAACAAAGAGAGAUUUAAGAGUUUGCUAAAGCAAUGGUUAAUAACAAGCAUAUUGAUGUUGUAUGGCGAUAAAAUACAAUUACUCUUGUAUAUGUUUUCGGAACGUAAUGAAGUUCUAGCUUUUUUUUUGCAACACACACAAGAGCUUUGACUCUUCUCUACGCGGAGAUGCGCGAGAGGUGCGUCAAGUGCGACAACAGAUAUACAUAUCAGAUGCGAAAUAAUUGUCUGAACGUUGUUAAGUCGACAACGAUGAUUUUACUGUAUUUUUAAAAACAAAUAUACAUGAAAUAUACAUUUAUAAUUUUAUAUAUAAUUGGUAGAAGGACUGCAUUCUCUGUGAAUAAACCUCUGAAUAUCUAUCUCUUACUGCACUAACGACGUCACAAUAGAGAGUUACGAUAUCAUUCCUGAACACAUAAUUAUUUUUUUUUUCUUUUAUAAAGUGUUGUUCUGUUGAGCAUUUCACUUGUCGUAAACAAUUGUACUAUGCAAGAAUAAUUCUCUAUACGCUAACAACGAUUCUUUCUCUCUCACUUUUUCUCUCACGCGUUUGAGAAAAAACGCGCUAACAAAUAUUAUUUUACUCGCACGUUUAGUUUAGUUUUCCAGAAAAUGGGGAAUUUUAAAUCCGAUGAAAAAUAAAUUAAAGUACAAAUCAAGAGAGAGAUACGCGAUACAUACACACACAGAGCUCUACAACCCUAUGUUUAGGAUUCGGUUGCUCUGUGAGAGAAGUAUUCUCGAGCAUAACAAACAUGCAGAAAGUCUGACAGUUUUUAUUACACAUUACGUUGAAAAAUAUUUUCAUUUAGUCUUGUGUUACAUUUAUGUAUUAUAUAUAUAAUAUAUAUCUUUACAUAUUUUUUGUCGAUUUUUUAUUCUGGAGGUGCUGGAUGUAUAUUAAGGUAUUGUACUUCUUGUCUACGUCUAUAUAUAUGUAAAUAUAUGUAUACUACUUAAGAAAUUAGAAUUCAAAAAUGUGUUUGACACGCACACACACACACAUACAUAUGCACACACACUUCUGAUAUUUUAUCUUUCUUUCUUUCUCUCUCUCUCUCUUUCCGACUUCAAAGAGUUAUAAUGUUUGUCGUCUGUAAUAGAGAAAAAUAUACUUUCCCUUUAGUUUUUCAUAUAUAAUUUAUUAACUACGAUGUGUACAUUGACGUGUACGUAGCGUGUUUAUUGACAAUCUUAAGAACGUUUUCUUCACAUUUUUUUCUCCUUUUUCUUUUCUUUUAGAUCGAAUUCGAGAAAUAAUCGCGUUUUGAGAAUAAAAAGUAAAAAUAUAUUAGUUUUUCCAGAAAAUUGUUCGCAUUUUUCGAAUUAACAAUAUCAAAGAAAAGUUGUUUACUCGUCUUUAAAUCAUUUUUCAUUUUCUUCUCGUUGAUUCAGUCGACACGGUAUACACAGUUAAAAUCGAUCGUGAUAUUAUAUCGUGUGGUAGUGUGUUCCUUAAUUAAAACAACGGACGAAAGAGAAUCUCUGCAAACACGAGGGGACGAAUCGAGGAAAAAAAAAACUAUUUCUGAAACACAAACACGCACGAGUCUUCGGAGAAUAGGUGUGCGUGUGUGCAUAGAAAAAAGUGUCUAAAGGGAAAGUGCAGAAACGCGAGAAGAAAAUACAUUAUAAAUUCUAUUAUUGCAGUCUGACGGUUGCAUAUGUAGGCCUUGCAGUGUUAACGAGAGUUAAUUGAGUCCCGAAAAAUUAUGACGCGCUGAUCUUUGCAUCGCAUUUUACACAGACACGUCAAUUUAUCUCGAGGUUGCGAGUACAUCCUAAAAUAAUAAUUCACUAACGUGAGAGAGAGAAUACGGUAAAUAAAGGAGUUCGAAACUCAUCUGUACAUAAUGCUCAAACGCUUCUGCACGAAGCGGGACACGGUUUGUGCGUUAACAACACUUGUAAAAUCGAUAGAAACCGAAGUGUCUCUCGAUGCAGGCUGUUUGGACGAGAAGAGCUUCUAAGCGUCGAUCAACAUUACAAUGUACACUAAUUUGAUUGUAUGUCGCUUGGCACAAUGUCGAUCGACAAUCACACACACACACACACACAACACACACAUACACACGUUGUCACAUUCAGCAAUACGGCGAGCAUUAAAACCGAGUCGAGAAGUAAUUUGUAUUUGAUAUGUAAUGUGUGUGUAGUGAUAAAAUUCUUAAAAAUAUAGUUCCAACUAUAUAUAAAUCUCUCGCGAUUGUUAAAUUCCUUUUGAAAGCGUGUGUGCCAUCUUCUUGCAAUAAUAAUAACAGAGUGAAAUGGGAAAACGUUUCGUAGAAAUAUUUGAAUUUUCGGUGGAUUAUACAUCGUUUGUUAUACAUAUUGCCGAUGUUAAUAUGCAGCAGUGUUUGAAAGCGUGAUUAUCAAUGAUGAUAAUUGUCAUCGAAUGCAAAAAUUUUCUCGUCCAAACGCAGUUUUUUUCUACUUAAAAAUGGAAAAUGCGUAUACACACAUCUAUAUCUUGAUACGUGUAAAUGAUUGUCCAUGAUUGUCCAUAGUCCGUAGAAUAAUUACAUCUCUAUCAUUAAUUACGUCUCUCUUAUUCUUUUCUUUUUUGUGCUUGUUCGUUUUAGAGUUAAACACGAGAAAAGAGCCGAGAGCGAGUCCGCGAAUACGCGGGCUCGACGUCUCUUGACCGUUCCUUUUGUCUCUUCUUUCUUUUUUUUUUUUUUUUUUUAUUAUAUCAUACUUUCUCCAAGUGUAAUCGGGAUGUGCUUAACGUUAAGGACACUUAACUUUGUAUACAAUCUUAUGUAGUUAAAAUAGAGUGAUCGCACAAAUAUAAUCUUUGAAAUUGUAUAGACGCGAAUUGUGGUUUUCGGUGUGACCGAGAGAUCGAUAUAUCGCGACUCCGACGAAAUCCGAAUUUUCUCUUCUCGAAAAUUCCAUGAAAUUGAAAACGCGACGCGUCGAAUUGAAAAAAAAAAAAAGUGUAGAAAGUUAUUUUUACAUCGAAAAAUACUCUCGUAGGGUGUGUUUGUCUGUUUUUAAAUCGGUAAAUUAUUAUAGCCGUUAUUCUUCUCUCGCGCGUUUUAUUCGGACUCACCGAAAUCGAAAUGUCGCGAUCUGUGUUUUACGAUCGAUCGUUUAUCAAAACGAAUCGUGACCGAUCAGGCGAUUGCACAUUGAUAUUGUUGACUACAUAAAUUUUUAUACACAUAUAUCAUAUAUAUAUUUUUUUUUCUCGCCACCAACAGUACUGUUUAUUAGACAAAAUCUAUACGUUUUCUUGGUCUAUAUGUUACGUAUAUAUAUAUAUAUAUAUAUAUGUAUAUGAAAUAAUGGAACUUUUGACGCGCGCGAGAACAAUUGAUUUCAGUAAUCCAUGUCGAGGUAUAUGCUCAAAAGAGAGAAGAGGAAAGAGAGUUUAUAAAAUCUAUCCUUAAGUUUUUGUUUUCUUAGUGAUUGUGUUAGAGAUGUGGCAAUUGACGACUGCGACGUAACCGCGACACGUAAUGUGCACGUAUAAAUGUACAUAUACGUGCGCACACGCCGCGUGUUUAUACAUUAUAU